CCCUUAGAUGUCCUGGGCCGCACGCGCGCUACACUGAGUGUCGGAGAUACGAGUCUGCCUGGUCCGGCAAGGUCUAGGUAAUCGCUAAAAGACACAUCAUGCUUGGGAUAGAUUAUUGCAAAUAUUAAUCUUGAACGAGGAAUUCCUAGUAAGCGCAAGUCAACAGCUUGCGUUGAUUACGUCCCUGCCCUUUGUACACACCGCCCGUCGCUACUACUGAUUGGAUGUUUAAGCGAGGUUCUCGAACUGCUAGCGACUUAGCUUCGGUGAGGUCGCAGUGUGGGAAGUGAACCUAGCUUUGGUGUCUAGAGGAAGUAAAAGUCGUAACA
rnacentral:rRNA from 1 species